rnacentral:misc_RNA from 1 species
CAUGCCCCGCUUGUAGCCAUUAAAAUAAACGAGGUGAUAUAGUUUACCAUGAACAUAAUGAUGUUCACUAAAGUGCAAAUUGACACAGAAUGCACUUAGGCGAGGUGAGGUUCUAGUGAGAACUUCUGUUCACCAAAUAAACGAAAGAUGCAUUGCCUUAACACUUUUACCUAAAUAUCAAUUGCCUGGAAAACUUUACAAGUGAUUGAUGAUGUAAAUUAGCAAGAACUUUUGUCAUGACAUUCCUAAUAAAUGGCUGAGACGAGGUGCCGUCCAAAAUAAUUAGAUGUUUGAAUCAUAUUCCAUUUGCUAAAAAAUAAUCAGAACGUCUUUGAUACUCACAAGGCUGAAAGCUCGACCUCUUGAGUA